rnacentral:rRNA from 1 species
UUAAUAUUUAUGGUGGUGUCACAAAAUCGGAGGCCCCGACUGUUUACUAAAAACACAAUUCAGAGCAAUGAUGUAAAUCAUAGUAUUCUGGAUGAAAUUUGCCCGAUGCCAUUAACAUAAAAGAGGUAAUGGGAAACUGUUACUAAUUGAAAGUCUGGUUAAUAGCGGUCUUAACUAUGAGGAUCCUAAGGUAGCAAAAUCAGUUGGCCAUUAAAUGUGGUCUGGUAUCAAUAGUGUAACGAUGGUCUCACUGUCUCUACAACUUGCUCAGUGAAAUUGAAUUAUCCGUGCAGAUGCGGAUUGCCUCCAGGUGGACGGGAAGACCCUAUGCAGCUUCUACUGA